rnacentral:rRNA from 1 species
AGUGGCGAACGGGUGAGUAUACAUCGGAACGUGCCCAAUCGUGGGGGAUAACGCAGCGAAAGCUGUGCUAGGACCGCAUACGAUCUACGGAUGAAAGCAGGGGACCGAAAGGCCUUCCGCGAAUGGAGCGGCCGAUG